GGCGGAGUGCCUAAUACAUGCAAGUCGAGCGNACUUNUCCUUCGNCCNCGGUUAGCGGCGGACGGGUGAGUAACACGUAGGCAACCUGCCUGUAAGAUCGGGAUAACUACCGGAAACGGUAGCUAAGACCGGAUAGCUGGUUUCUCCGCAUGGGGGAAUCAUGAAACANGGGGCAACCUGUGGCUUACGGAUGGGCCUGCGGCGCAUUAGCUAGUUGGUGGGGUAAUGGCCCACCAAGGCGACGAUGCGUCAGCCGACCUGAGAGGGUGAUCGGCCACACUGGGANUGAGACACGGCCCAGACUCAUACGGGAGGCAGCAGUUAGGGAAUCUUCSGCAAUGGGCGCAAGCCUGACGGAGCAACGCCGCGUGAGUUGAUGAAGGUUUUCGGAUCGUAAAGCUCUGUUGCCAAGGAAGAACGCCUCGGAGAGUAACUGCUCUGAGGGUGACGGUACUUGAGAAGAAAGCCCCGGCUAACUACGUGCCAGCAGCCGCGGUAAUACGUAGGGGGCAAGCGUUGUCCGGAAUUAUUGGGCGUAAAGCGCGCGCAGGCGGUCUUUUAAGUUUGGUGUUUAAGCCCGGGGCUCAACCCCGGUUCGCACUGAAAACUGGGAGACUUGAGUGCAGGAGAKGAAAGCGGAAUUCCCCGUGU
rnacentral:rRNA from 1 species